AGAGUUUGAUCCUGGCUCAGGACGAACGCUGGCGGCAUGCUUAACACAUGCAAGUCGAGGGGCCCUUCGGGGUCACUGGCGCACGGGUGAGUAACACGUAGGUCAUCUGCCCUAUCACAGACAUGACUCCGGGAAACCGGUGCUAAUAUCUGAUGAGGUCGCGAGACCAGAGCUUCGGCGGAUAGGGAUGAGCGUGCGGCUGAUUAGCUAGUUGGUGAGGUAAUGGCUCACCAAGGCAACGAUCAGUAGCUGGUCUGAGAGGACGAACAGCCACACUGGAACUGAGACACGGUCCAGACUCCUACGGGAGGCAGCAGUGAGGAAUAUUGGUCAAUGGGAGCAAUCCUGAACCAGCAAUGCCGCGUGUGGGAUGACAGGGCUUCGCCUUGUAAACCACUGUCGGAUGGGACGAGAGGGAGCCUUGGGCUCCUGGGACGGUACCAUCAAAGGAAGGGUCGGCUAACUACGUGCCAGCAGCCGCGGUAAUACGUAGGACCCGAGCGUCGUCCGGAUUCACUGGGUAUAAAGGGUGCGUAGGCGGUCUUGUGCGUCAGAGGUGAAAUAUCCGGGCUUAACCCGGAGGGUGCCUUUGAUACGGCAGGACUUGAGUCCGAGAGAGGAUGAUGGAAUUCCUGGUGUAGCGGUGAAAUGCGUAGAUAUCAGGAGGAACACCGGUGGCGAAGGCGGUCAUCUGGCUCGGAACUGACGCUGAGGCACGAAAGCGCGGGGAUCAAACAGGACUAGAUACCCUGGUAGUCCGCGCCCUAAACGAUGUAUGCUUGGUGUUGGGCCUUUCGGGGCUCAGUGCCGUAGGGAAUCUGAUAAGCAUACCACCUGGGGAGUACGAUCGCAAGGUUGAAACUCAAAGGAAUUGACGG
rnacentral:rRNA from 1 species